GCUACGGGAGGCAGCAGUAGGGAAUUUUGCGCAAUGGGGGAAACCCUGACGCAGCAACACCGCGUGAAUGUUAAGCCCUUCGGGGUGUAAAGUUCUGUCAAUAGGGACGAUUUUUGACUGUACAUAUAAAGGAAGCACCGGCUAACUCCGUGACAGCAGCCGCGGGAAUACGGGGGGUGCAAGCGUUGUCCGGAAUCAUUGGGCGUAACGCGUUCGUAGGCGGUAUGUCAAGUCUGAUUUUAAAGCCCGGGGCUCAACUCCGGUUCGGCAUUGGAUAUUGGCAAACUAGAGUGUGGUAGAGGUACAGUGAAUUCCUGGUGUAGCGGUGAAAUGCGUAGAUAUCAGGAGGAACAUCAGUGGCGAAAGCGCUUUACUGGACCAUUAUUGACGCUGAGGAACGAAAGCCAGGGGAGCAAAUGGGAUUAGAUACCCCAGUAGUC
rnacentral:rRNA from 1 species